GCCAUAGCUCACUGGUAGAACAUCUGUCUUGCAUGCAGAAGGUCCCAGUUUUAGUACCUGGCAUCUCCA